GAUGAACGCUGGCGGCGUGCCUAAUACAUGCAAGUCGAGCGAACAGACGAGGAGCUUGCUCCUCUGACGUUAGCGGCGGACGGGUGAGUAACACGUGGAUAACCUACCUAUAAGACUGGGAUAACUUCGGGAAACCGGAGCUAAUACCGGAUGAUAUAUUGAACCGCAUGGUUCAAUAGUGAAAGACGGUUUUGCUGUCACUUAUAGAUGGAUCCGCGCCGCAUUAGCUAGUUGGUAAGGUAACGGCUUACCAAGGCAACGAUGCGUAGCCGACCUGAGAGGGUGAUCGGCCACACUGGAACUGAGACACGGUCCAGACUCCUACGGGAGGCAGCAGUAGGGAAUCUUCCGCAAAGGGCGAAAGCCUGACGGAGCAACGCCGCGUGAGUGAUGAAGGUCUUCGGAUCGUAAAACUCUGUUAUUAGGGAAGAACAAAUGUGUAAGUAACUAUGCACGUCUUGACGGUACCUAAUCAGAAAGCCACGGCUAACUACGUG
rnacentral:rRNA from 1 species